AUUCUCAGGGUCACCUCUUCCAGGAGGUUGCUCCAUCACCUGUGACAGUAGCAAAUAGGGAUCUGUCCUGCACUGGUGAUCAGUGAUUCCCUGGAAUUGUGCCUACAGACUGCAAGACCCUGGAUCUGAGAGGAAUCCAGCUCGGAGACGAUGCACGCUGGGAGAGAUUUUACGGGAACCUGCUUCUGCAGGGGGGUGCUCUGGCUUUCACACAGCUGCUCUUAUGCCCUUCAAUCUACAGCAGUCUGUCUGAAGAGGAAGUACAGAGUUCUACACUGAAAUUUGCUCUGUGAUCAAGUGAGCCACAUGAUGUUUCAUCCUUACGCCGCGUCGGGUCUUUGGCACGGCGAGAUGUCUUUCCCUGCUUGGGAAAAGACAAGGCAAACAGUAAAAGGGCUGAAAUCCA